UACGUAGGGGGCAAGCGUUAUCCGGAUUUACUGGGUGUAAAGGGGGCGCAGACGGCGAUGCAAGCCAGGAGUGAAAGCCCGGGGCCCAACCCCGGGACUGCUCUUGGAACUGCGUGGCUGGAGUGCAGGAGGGGCAGGCGGAAUUCCUAGUGUAGCGGUGAAAUGCGUAGAUAUUAGGAGGAACACCAGUGGCGAAGGCGGCCUGCUGGACGAUGACUGACGUUGAGGCUCGAAAGCGUGGGGAGCAAACAGG
rnacentral:rRNA from 1 species